AUACGAAGGGGGCUAGCGUUGUUCGGAAUUACUGGGCGUAAAGCGCGCGUAGGCGGAUUGGUCAGUUAGGGGUGAAAUCCCAGGGCUUAACCCUGGAACUGCCUCUAAUACUGCCAGUCUUGAGUUCGGGAGAGGUGAGUGGAAUUCCUAGUGUAGAGGUGAAAUUCGUAGAUAUUAGGAAGAACACCAGUGGCGAAGGCGGCUCACUGACCCGAUACUGACGCUGAGGCGCGAAAGCGUGGGGAGCAAACAGGAUUAGAAACCCUAGUAGUCC
rnacentral:rRNA from 1 species